GAGGAGAGCGCGUGUGCGCGGAACGCAGACUUCCACCGAGUUUCUGAAUGCUGCAACAGAGGCCUUUCCACCCUGUGAGCCACAGACGCAACUUUCUGCUCACGCCUGCGCACACGCUCGCGCACACAGCCUUAGUGCGCGUGUCUCCAUCGCACUACUCACCUUGGAUGGACGGCUUGGAAACGGCUUUCUGCACUUUCUACGAGAAGUGCAGCAGCGGCCUGGGUGAAGGUGAACCUGAG